rnacentral:tRNA from 1 species
GGAUUUUAAACUAAACUAUUCUUGG